rnacentral:rRNA from 1 species
UACGGUAGGGGCUAGCGUUGUCCGGAAUCAUUGGGCGUAAAGAGCGUGUAGGCGGUUCGGUAAGUCUGUCGUGAAAUCCCUGAGGCUGCAACCUCGGGCGUGCGAUGGAUACUGCCGGGCUAGAGGGUGGUAGAGGCGAGUGGAAUUCCCGGUGUAGCGGUGAAAUGCGCAGAGUAUCGGGAGGAACACCAGUAGCGAAGGCGGCUCGCUGGGCCACACCUGACGCUGAGACGCGAAAGCUAGGGGAGCGAACAGG